UUGAUUUAAUAUCCUAAAACUAAUACAUUUUUACAUUUUUUUAGUAUGUGUACCUCUAAUUAAUUUUUAUAUGCAUGAAGUAUAUGUAAGAUGAUGUAGAAGAGGUGCAUAUAUUUUGGGUGUUCGGAAAGUUCUAAUAAAUAACUUGUAACUAAUUUCAUAAUUGAAGGAACACUAACUACAUAAUGAAGUUAAAAGCCAACAAUUUCAAAGAAAAAUAGUAAUAAGUAAGUGUCUACACCCUCCACCUUUAUAUAUAUAGAUAACCAAAGAUUGUAUUAAGUGUGUGGUAAUCAUGAACAAUAAACAUUUUAGGUUGUUUUUUAUUUUGCUCAUUCUCCUUCCUUCUGAGAUGGUGAAAGCAUCAGAAGAAACAAAUGGAAAUGGAUAUUAUAUUGCCCUUUGCCAACAGAGGUGUGUUGCUAAUGGUUUUCUAUAUGGUACAGUCCCCCCGUCAAGGCCUAGACAAUGCAUCUGUACUAUGGAAAAAGAUUUUAACCAUUUGCUCUCUUCUCCAUUUCAUACUAAGAUUUGAAAAUAUUAAUCUAAUAACGUGACACUUAAUAAGUACAUUUAUUUUUAUGUACUACAUAUGUCUCUAAACUGUAAUAAUGGAGAAAAAAAAAAGAGAGAAAAUGGAGAAAUCCUUUCUUAAAUAUGGUUCUUUAAUUGCUAGAUCUGGUCUUUUGGAUCAUUUUCUGUUUUAUUGCUAUUAAUCUUAAUAUGUUUUUAAUUUCUAUUUGGUUCUUUAAGCUUUGAUUUUAUGCAUAA